rnacentral:rRNA from 1 species
GAAAUUAAGCAGGAAGGCCGGGUUUAUGCGGUCUACCAUGCAAGUCGAACGAUGAUGCCCAGCUUGCUGGGCGGAUUAGUGGCGAACGGGUGAGUAAUACGUGAGUAACCUGCCCUUGACUCUGGGAUAAGCCUGGGAAACUGGGUCUAAUACUGGAUACUACUGCGCAUCGCAUGGUGUGUGGUGGAAAGGGUUUUACUGGUUUUGGAUGGGCUCACGGCCUAUCAGCUUGUUGGUGGGGUAAUGGCUCACCAAGGCGACGACGGGUAGCCGGCCUGAGAGGGUGACCGGCCACACUGGGACUGAGACACGGCCCAGACUCCUACGGGAGGCAGCAGUGGGGAAUAUUGCACAAUGGGCGCAAGCCUGAUGCAGCGACGCCGCGUGAGGGAUGACGGCCUUCGGGUUGUAAACCUCUUUCAGUAGGGAAGAAGCGAGAGUGACGGUACCUGCAGAAGAAGCGCCGGCUAACUACGUGCCAGCAGCCGCGGUAAUACGUAGGGCGCAAGCGUUGUCCGGAAUUAUUGGGCGUAAAGAGCUCGUAGGCGGUUUGUCGCGUCUGCUGUGAAAGCCCGGGGCUCAACCCCGGGUCUGCAGUGGGUAC